CUCCCGGGAGCUGAGCGUUUCUGGUCACUACUACCACGUAGCACGCUGCUGAAAACACAAACUCUCCAGAAGGGUUUGAUGCAAUUACCACCGUCCCCCCCAAAAAAUAACCUGUCAAUCAAACAUCACCGCCGCCAUCGUCACUGCUGCAGGGUCACGUGUGAAUACCGGCUGACAUCACAACCACAGUAAAUAAGGAAGUUACUGUGGACGACGACGGACUCCCACGGCGCCAGGAGAACGAGCUGAAUCAGGUUCUGGAUACAUAGACUGAAGGUGAUACCCCCC